rfam:Angiostrongylus cantonensis strain Taiwan genome assembly, scaffold: ACAC_contig0010904
AUUCACAAGAGCUUAAAACAAACGUUAUUCAGAAAGUUAUUUCGUCAGAAAAGUUACCACAGGGAUAACUGGCUCGUUGCAGCCAAGCGUCCACAGCGACGUUGCUUUUUGAUCCUUCGAUGUCGGCUCUUCAUUUCAUUGCGAAGCAAACUUUAUUAAGUUCAAUAAGCAUAUUAAAAUCCACAAGUCUUCCUUAACCAAAUGCUUUCAUAUUAUACAAUGAUAACAUUCACUUUCUAAAGCACACGAAGCCUUCAUUUUUCACAUUUUAACUUUUGUAUCGAGUACCAUAUUCGGAAAAGAAUGUGACUGAACAAGCGAAGUUCGCCAACAGGAACCGGUGAUAUUCUCCAAUGCAUCAUUGGCUUUUGGUGGUGCCGUACUUAGGUGGGGAACAUUAAAAG